GGAAGGAUCAUUAACUAAACAACAUAUACCUUGUGAAACAAGAGCUUGGGGGUGGGUAGGUAGGGAGAUGCAUGUGUGAUGCGUGUGAGAGAUGUGUAUGCGACAAGAUGUAGUACUAUGCUACAUUGUGUACCAUUUCUCACCCACAUCCCUCGCAUACAUCCUACAUCUCUCACUCUCUAGCUCUUAUUUAUAUACAUUAGUCAAACAACACUUUAAAAUAUUACAAUUUUUAACAAUGGAUCUCUAGGCUCUUGCAACGAUGAAGAACGCAGCUAAUUGCGAUAAGUAAUGUGAAUUGCAUCACUGUGAAUCAUCGAAUCUUUGAACGCACUUUGCGCUCCUCGAGUUAAUCGAGAAGCAUAUCUGUUUGAGUAUCAGAAACAUAUUACAUACAUGAAGAAUCAAGCAAUUGUUCUUUUAAAUGCAUACAUCAAGUGAGGUAAAAGACAGUUGUUCUUUCCCGCUUUAUUCUAACAAUAUGAUCUCAAAUCAGACAAGAUUACCCGCUGAACUUAAGCAUAUCAGUAAGCGGAGGAAAAGAAACUAACAAGGAUUCCCUCAGUAAUGGCGAAUGAAGUGGGAAAAGCUCAAAUUUAAAAUCCAAGAGGUUACCUCUUUGAAUUGUAGUUUAUAGAGACGUUUUCCGAGGCGGCAUUGAUUCAAGUUCUUUGGAACAAGACAUCAUAGAGGGUGAGAAUCCCGUCCAUGGUCUUUGCCAUACUCAAUGUGAUACGUUUUCUAAGAGUCGAGUUGUUUGGGAAUGCAGCUCAAAGCGGGUGGUAAAUUUCAUCCAAAGCUAAAUAUUGGCAAGAGACCGAUAGCGAACAAGUACAGUGAGGGAAAGAUGAAAAGAACUUUGAAAAGAGAGUUAAAAGUACGUGAAAUUGUUAAAAAGGAAGCGAUUGAAACCAGUAUAGUGUCAACAUUGGUUUCUGUUGCUGGAUAAGGCCUUGAGUUUAGCUGUUUAUACAGUGAGGCUCUUGGAGAAACAGCGAUGGAGACCGAGGUCUGCAGCGUAGCGAAAGCUUAGUCGAGCCAUUAUUUUUGCAAAAGCGGGUUCAAGACAACAUGUUGACUUGAGCACGUCUAGCCUAAUGAGUGGGUAGAUAUAAAUACGCUUAGGAUGUUGACGAAAUGGUUUUAAACGACCCGUCUUGAAACACGGACCAAGGAGUCUAACACAUAUGCGAGUAUUAGAGUGUCAAACUCUUGUGCGUAAUGAAAGUGAAUGGAUGGGAUCCGCAAGGUGCACCAUUGACCAAUCUUGAUGUUUUAACGGAUAGAUUUGAGUAAGAGCAUAUUUGUUGGGACCCGAAAGAUGGUGAACUAUGCCUGAAUAGGGUGAAGCCAGAGGAAACUCUGGUGGAGGCUCGUAGAGGUUCUGACGUGCAAAUCGAUCUUCAAAUUUGGGUAUAGGGGCGAAAGACUAAUCGAACCAUCUAGUAGCUGGUUCCCUC
rnacentral:misc_RNA from 1 species